rnacentral:tmRNA from 1 species
GGGGGCGACUAGAAUCGAUUCGGACCAGUGAGAAGUGAGGGGCAUGCCGAGGUGGUCAGGAGGCCUCGUAAAACACCUGACAAAUUGACAAGUGCCAACUACAACGCGGUAGCAGAAGCGGAGUCCAUUCUCGCUUCUGAGGCACUGCAAGUCGCUGCCUAAUUAAAUAGGUAGCGCCGUCGUUCCGUCAGCCUGCGGGCGGGAUGGGCGUUUCGAGCAGGCUGGUUCCGCCAUCGGCCGCUGAGCGGCGGGACGAGGAGGACAUCAGCGGCUGGUCUCUGGCAAGCCGGCUCCGCAGGCGGGUCAGAGCGAGAUGUUCGAUGCGGGGCUACGCAUGUAGAGGGCUCACACUCUCGAUCCGAAGACGCGGGUGCAAUUCCCGCCGCCUCCACGU